rfam:Homo sapiens chromosome 1, GRCh38 reference primary assembly.
GCCAGGCAUGGUGGCUCAUGCCUGUAAUCCCAGCACUUUGGGAGGCUGAGGUGGGAGGAUCACUUGAGGCCAGGAGUUUUGAGACCAGCAUGGGCAACACAGUGAGACCCCAUCUCUA